rnacentral:rRNA from 1 species
AGUGAACGCUGGCGGUAGGCCUAACACAUGCAAGUCGAACGGCAGCACAGUAAGAGCUUGCUCUUACGGGUGGCGAGUGGCAGACGGGUGAGGAAUACAUCGGAAUCUACUUUUUCGUGGGGGACAACGUAGGGAAACUUACGCUAAUACCGCAUACGACCUACGGGUGAAAGCAGUGGAUCUUCGGACCUUGCGCGAUUGAAUGAGCCGAGGUCGGAUUAGCUAGUUGGCUGGGUAAAGGCCCACCAAGGCGACGAUCCGUAGCUGGUCUGAGAGGAUGAUCAGCCACACUGGAACUGAGACACGGUCCAGACUCCUACGGGAGGCAGCAGUGGGGAAUAUUGGACAAUGGGCGCAAGCCUGAUCCAGCCAUACCGCGUGGGUGAAGAAGGCCUUCGGGUUGUAAAGCCCUUUUGUUGGGAAAGAAAAGCAGCAGGUUAAUACCCCGCUGUUCUGACGGUACCCAAAGAAUAAGCACCGGCUAACUUCGUG